ACCUGACAGCUCUUUACAUUUGCUGUUCGCCCGGGAACUACGAGCGUAAGCUUAAAACCCAAAGGACUUGACGGUGCUUUAUAUCCCCCUAGAGGAGCCUGUCCUAGAACCGAUAAUCCCCGUUAAACCUCACCUUUUCUUGCUCAUCCCGCCUAUAUACCGCCGUCUCCAGUCUACCCUGUAAAGGACCCAUAGUAGGCGAAAUUGGUACAGCCCCAGACGACAGGUCGAGGUGUAGCGUAUGAAGAGGGAAGAGAUGGGCUACAUUCAGUGAAACACCGAAUACGGAAAGCUAAUUGAAAUAUUAACUUGAAGGUGGAUUUAGCAGUAAGUGGAG
rnacentral:rRNA from 1 species